UACGUAGGGUGCAAGCGUUAAUCGGAAUUACUGGGCGUAAAGCGUGCGCAGGCGGUUUUGUAAGUCUGUCGUGAAAGCCCCGGGCUCAACCUGGGAAUUGCGAUGGAGACUGCAAGGCUUGAAUCUGGCAGAGGGGGGUAGAAUUCCACGUGUAGCAGUGAAAUGCGUAGAGAUGUGGAGGAACACCGAUGGCGAAGGCAGCCCCCUGGGUCAAGAUUGACGCUCAUGCACGAAAGCAUGGGGAGCGAACAGG
rnacentral:rRNA from 1 species